AUGUAUUUGUACAGUAUAUGUACCUGUAUGUAUUUGUACAGUAUGUGUACCUGUAUGUAUUUGAGCAGUAUGUGUACCUGUAUGUAUUUGUACCUGUAUGUAUUUGAGCAGUAUGUGUACCUGUAUGUAUUUGAGCAGUUUGUGUACCUGUAUGUAUUUGUACAGUAUGUGUACCUGUAUGUAUUUGAGCAGUUUGUGUACCUGUAUGUAUUUGUACAGUAUGUGUACCUGUAUGUAUUUGAGCAGUUUGUGUACCUGUAUGUAUUUGUACAGUAUGUGUACCUGUAUGUAUUUGUACAGUAUGUGUACCUGUAUGUAUUUGUACAGUAUGUGUACCUGUAUGUAUUUGAGCAGUUUGUGUACCUGUAUGUAUUUGUACAGUAUGUGUACCUGUAUGUAUUUGUACAGUAUGUGUACCUGUAUGUAUUUGUACAGUAUGUGUACCUGUAUGUAUUUGUACAGUAUGUGUACCUGUAUGUAUUUGAGCAGUUUGUGUACCUGUAUGUAUUUGUACAGUAUGUGUACCUGUAUGUAUUUGUACAGUAUGUGUACCUGUAUGUAUUUGUACAGUAUGUGUACCUGUAUGUAUUUGUACAGUAUGUGUACCUGUAUGUAUUUGUACAGUAUGUGUACCUGUAUGUAUUUGUACAGUAUGUGUACCUGUAUGUAUUUGUACAGUAUGUGUACCUGUAUGUAUUUGUACAGUAUGUGUACCUGUAUGUAUUUGUACAGUAUGUGUACCUGUAUGUAUUUGUACAGUAUGUGUACCUGUAUGUAUUUGUACAGUAUGUGUACCUGUAUGUAUUUGUACAGUAUAUGUACCUGUAUGUAUUUGUACAGUAUGUGUACCUGUAUGUAUUUGUACAGUAUGUGUACCUGUAUGUAUUUGUACAGUAUGUGUACCUGUAUGUAUUUGUACAGUAUGUGUACCUGUAUGUAUUUGUACAGUAUGUGUACCUGUAUGUAUUUGUACAUGUGUUUGCUAAUUACACAUUUAAUUGUUAA
rnacentral:lncRNA from 1 species